UUGUUUGAACGAAUUUUUAGCGCUAUUUCGAUGCCCACAUUCAACGAACAACGCAAAAACAGUUGUUUUUCGCAAUCAAUGUUCAACGGCACAAUUUCAUUGUUCAAUUCAAAAUAAUAUCGAUCGGAAGUUUCGAUUUACGUUAUUAAAAAAGAUGUUCCAAUAAAACAUCAGCACCGCGAAUAAACACUGAAUGUAAGUAAUUUUGGACACUUUGUAUGUGAUUUGAGCUUCAGAACAAGAUGGCCGAAAACAAUCCAUCGAGUAAUAAUGCGCCGACCAACAAUCAAAAGAAAUCAAACAACAGUUUCUUUCGUUUGCGAAAUCGUCAAAAUAAACGUGACACUGGGCCACGUCAAAACACGAUAUCAAUUCCUAUACCACUGAAUUCGCCAUCAUCUGGUUAUGGAUCGAAUUCUUCUUCAAUUGAACAAAAUUCAUUUCAAAUUGGCGGAAAGAAAUCGCCGUACACUGGCUGGAAACUGUAUUUCCCUGAAGUCGAAUACAAAGAUGAUUUACCGAUAGUGCGGAAGAUAAAGGCAUUUGAGCAGCAUAUCAAAAAGCGGCCAUACUUUUACAAGCUCAAUGAUAUUCGACAGAAUAUGUGGUUUAUAAUGUCCGUACAAUCGCUUCAAAACGAUGAGGAAUUUUGUCAGGCUGUACCGAACUUUCAAUCGGAUUUAAAUUUUUCGUCGAUGGAAAUAUUGAUGUGUGCGGGAUUGGCAGCUCAUCAACUCAUUCAAACCGAACUACCGCCAAUUCCGAGCCAAGAGUCAGAGAAAAAUGAAACUAGUAUGAGACUAUCGAUGUUAACGAUUCGUGCGCGCAUCAAAGACCAUUCGCCAAUUGUUAAUUUGAGUGCAUUAAAGCAAGACAUUUACAAUUGCUUAUUUUCGGUGCGAGGAACUGUUGUUCGGGUAAAUCCUCCCAGUUUGAAAUGUUCAUGGGUCGCCUUUCGAUGUGCGCAAUGUAAAACGGAACAAGCGGUUCGGCAAUUGAAUUUGGGUCGAACCAACAUGCCGAUAUCAUGCAAAGGUGGCAGCUGUCGUAAUCGCAGCAAUUUUCAUAUGUUGCAAACGUCGCCAUUCACACGAACGGAACCAUAUCAAACGAUACGUCUGCAAGAAUCGGUACUAUCGGGAAAGGGUCAAAUACCAAAAACAAUUGAGAUUGAUUUGGAUUACGAUUUGGUCGAUUCGGUAUCACCGGGUGAUGAUAUCACAGUGACGGGCAUUAUGCGGGUGCGCACCCAAGCUAAUAAACAGGGCAGCGAAGCUGGACUUCAUACAUAUUAUAUUCAUGCUGUGUCGAUUAUGAGCAACAAAAAUAUAGUUGCACUUCGAAAACUAGAAUUUAAAGAACAUGAUGUUGAUGUGAUUAAGAUGGUGGCCAGAGAGCCAAAUAUAUUUAAAAUUCUAGUUCAUUCGCUUUGUCCUCGAAUCUUUGGCCAUGAGAUGGUUAAAGCGGGCCUGCUCUUGUCACUAUUUGGAGCAUCCGGAAAUGGUUCAAAUUCAGAUCAAACGCCGGGUUUUGGUAAACGAUCUGAAAUUCAUGUUCUUGUUGUCGGCGAUCCUGGAUUGGGAAAAUCAAUUCUUAUACAGGCCUGUUCAAAUAUAUCACCGCGUGGAAUUUUCGUUUGCGGCCAUAGUACAACAAAUGCAGGCUUAACCGUAUCUGUUCGACACGAUAAAGGUUCCGAUGGAAGUCUUGAAGCCGGUGCUCUUGUAUUGGCCGAUCAAGGCGUUUGUUGUUUGGACGAAUUUGAUAAAAUGUCAUCAAAUUAUCAGUCUUUGUUACAAGUUAUGGAACAACAAUCAGUAAGUGUGGCCAAAGCUGGUGUGUUGUGUUCACUGCCAGCCCGAACAUCAAUUAUUGCUGCAGCCAACCCGUCAGGCGGUCACUACGACAAAUCGAAAACGGUGUCAGAGAACUUAAAAAUUUGGCCAACACUAUUGUCUCGUUUCGAUUUGGUGUUUAUACUAUUAGACAAGGCUGAUGCCCAUCUUGACAAUUUACUCACAAAUCAUAUUCAAGCAUUGAAAGCAAAUCAAUACAAUAAACCUGUGGAACGUACGCGAUCCGGUUUCUCUGAACAACCAACCCAAUUUUCAAUGACCAACACUCACUUGACACCGGAUCUCAGCGAUGCUCCACUUCACGAACGAAUGAAAAUGAAUGAAACGACUGAUUUUCAACCGUUGCGAAUGGACAUUAUGCGAAAGUACAUUUUAUAUGCACGUAAAUUUUGUUUUCCAACAAUAAGUGCCGAAGCCAGUGAAGAGCUACGAAAAUUCUACAUUGAAAUGCGAACAACGCGACAAGGGAUCGAUUCAGUGCCGGUAACAACGCGACAACUCGAGGCAUUAAUUCGUUUGACGCAAGCACGGGCCCGACUUGAAUUGGCCGCCGAAGCAACUAUUCAUCAUGCCAGAGAUGUGUUGGCCAUUCUUCGAUACACAAUGGUUGAUGUUCUUAGUAAUGAUCAAAAUACAUUGGAAAUGAAACGAAGCAUCAAUGGUUCGGGCCUUAGUCAUACCACCAAAGUAAAACGAUUCUUACAAUUGAUACAGGGACAAUGCAAAAAUAUGUUUACCGUUACGGAAUUAAAGGAAUUGGCAGCCUCGCUCGGAUUCGAAAUUUUCUUCAAUCAGAUGCUUGAUACACUUAAUGUUCAGGGAUUUUUAAUCAAACGCAGUAAUAAUGUUUACAAAUUCACCACAUGAUCUGAUUAAGGGACGUACACUCUCCAGCAAGUCAUUUUUUAUGGGCUUGAAAUAAACAAUUUGGUAGAAUGGUAAAAUCGAAUUUGUUAAUUCAGACGCAACCUAUGAAUUUUAUUUGAUAAAUUAUUAUCGGGUGGAUUUAAUGAUGAAAAAAUAGUAAAAAUGGAAAAAGUGUUAAAAUCAGUUGAUAAGUUAUAUACACGUUACUUAUAAAAUAUUUGACGAAUGUUGAUCUAUUUAAAAUGAAAUGUCUGUAGAUUUUAAAUAAUAGUGGAUCGACAUAAGAAUCUUUUAAUUAAAUAGAAAAAGAGAAGCGGAAGGAAAGUCAAUUCUUGGUCGACGUCACACAUCUGUUGGAACUCAUUUGUAAAAUAAAUAUAAAAAAUGUAACGAUUUUCUCCCUCAAUUUGUAAAAUAAAUGAAGCUUUUGAUUCAGAGGUGAUAACGGUCAAUAAUUGACUAUCCGUCUGUUUAUUGAUUUCAUGCGAUUACAAUGAUACGAAAACACGUUGAACAAAGCCCAUUAUUUAAAAAAUCACGGAUGCACAUUACUUAAAGUGAACGCACAUGCGCUCGCACUGUGUUUUAAAGUAAAUUAAAAAAUUUCCUUCAAUUUAAAAAAAAAAUCACUCAGCUUGAUUGCAUAAAACCGUAACAAUGAGUGCUACGCAGAAGAACAAGCGCGAAGAAAAAAUAAACAACAAAAAAAAUGAGAUAGAAAUGUUCGACUUAAAUGAUGAGUGAAAAAAAGAGAAACAUUCAAUGGUGGACCUAUGCGCUUACAUACAUAUACAUUUCCAUAUUUUCUUCGUUGCAUUAUCGGUCUUUGUUUUUUCAUUGUAUUUAACCAUUUUUUUCUCGUUUCACCGUUUUAUUGUCUCAUUUGGUUGUGCUUUGGUAUUCAAAGAAUGAUCAUUGCUAUACAAGUAUAAACUAAUAUACACAACACACAAACGCACACACUCUGCGUUCAUACCAAACAAACAUUCAUAUGAUUCAUGCAGACGGCUUUUUAACAUUCACAUCAUUUGAGCAAAAAUCAAACAUACGAAAAUGGUUAGUUUCACGUUGAUCGUUCAACUGUAUGGAUUGUAUUUAUAGCAAGUAAGCCAGUAUAUUAUGUUUUUUUAAUAGUUCAUUUCUAUAUCGUGUUUCAUCUCCUCUCGUCAAAUGUUUAUUUAAUCCAAGAAGCAAAUCAAUACCGAUUUGGCCUUAGUGUCCAAAUAUUUAAUCAAAUAUACCAAAAAUUCAUUGUAAAAAAACAAGGAAACGAUCAAAGAUUAACGAUCAACACGAAAGAAAAAAAAUUCAUUUCGCACAAAAUUUCAUUUGGAAAAUAUGUGAUUACCAUGUGUUCGCGCUUCUUUUACACAAUCAGCUGAAUAUUCACAACAAAGAGACGAAUCAAACAAAACAACAACGACCACCACGAAAAGAAGAAGAAGAAGAAGAAGAAAAACAAUAAUAAUCCAAUAUUCUCAUACUCUAGUUAAACUACCGGCUGUUACACCUGUUCAUUGUUCGAUUAUUCAAACGCCCCCCAAAUGUGUAUGGGAAUGAAAGACAAUAAAAUCGGUGUUACAUUUACAAUUAAAAAAAUGCUAAUUAUUUAUUCUGUUAUGCGGUGAGAAAAAAAAUCAACAACGAAAAAGAACAUAUAUGAACUGACAACGAAGAAAAAACAUAUAACAUUAAUACCAUAAAGCCAAAAUAAAUAUCGCCAAAAAUCAUUGAAUAAAAUCAGUUAUGUAAUUAUUUAAAUUUGUAUACAUUCCAUUGCAUCAAAAGACAAAAAAAAAACAUAGACAUCAACGCACACCAUCCAACGACAACGAAUACAGUGUGAGAAUUUAAAUAAACUGAAGGGAACAAUAUUGUUUUAUCGAAAUAUAACUAUGAAGCAAAAGGCAUCGAUGGCUUGUCAUUUAGUCAAUGUGAAGAAUUGUGAAAAAUAAUACGAAUAUACAAACGAGAAAAAGAGAGAGAGAGAGAAAUAUCAAAUCAUUUUUCAUCGUUACGUUUGGCAAUCAUUGUACCUGACAUUAAAACAAAAAUCACCAUAAAA